rfam:Picea glauca, whole genome shotgun sequence.
UCAAAAUGCAUGUCGAUGGGUUUGUAAAACUGUGAGGCGUAAGGAAGAUGACGAGCGAGAUCCCCUCUCCAUGGGGUGAAUUUCUGACCGACCUUGAGCUUGUGCAAAGGGUUCGAGUGAGAGCACACCUAUUGGGACCUGAAAGAUGGUCAACUAUGCCUGAGCAGGGUGAAGCUAGAGGAAACUCUGGUCGAGGCCCAUAGCAAUAAUAACGUGAAAAUCAUUCGUCUGACUUGUGUAUAUGGACGAAAUACUAAUCGAACCAUCUAGUAGUUUCUUUCCUCUGAAGUUCCCCUCAGGAUAGUUGGAGCUCAUGUGUGAGUUUUAUCGAGUAAAGAAAAUGAUUAGAGGCAUCAUGGGCGUAACUCCCCUGACCUAUUCUCAAACUUUAAAUAAGUAAGACAGUGUGGCUACUCCAUUGAGCCGUGCCACAUAAUCAAGAGUUCCAAGUUGGCCAUUUUUGGUAAGUAGAACUGGCGAUGCAGGAUGAACCAAAAGUUAAGUUACGGUGCCAAAAUGCACACUAACCCAGAUCCCACAAAAGGUGUUGGUUGAUUAAGAAAAUGGGAUGGUGGUCAUUGAAGUCAAAAUCUAGUCAGGAGUGUGUAACAACUCACCUGCUGAAUCAACUAGCACCGAAAAUGGAUGGCGCUGAAGCACGUGACCUAUACUCAACCGUCAGACCAAUUGCCAGGCUUUGAUGAGUAGGAGCACGCGGGGGUCAUUGAGAAACCUUGGGUGUGAGCCUGGGUGUUACACAUUAUUUUCAUCA